AAAGAAUUAUAAGAAAUCAUGUUAUAAGGAAUGAAAAGUACGGUUUGGAAACUAAAUAUCUAUAAUCUAUAAUCUAUAAAUAAUAAUAAUAAUAAUAAUAAUAAUAAUAAACCAUAUUAAACAUUAAAACUUCCAUCCCUGUGCACUCAACUGUGUUUAUGAACAGUGAAAGUUGGCGCUAUUACUCUACUACCCCCAACAAUAAUGUAUUGCCAAAUCUACCCUUCAUCUUUUAUCCCCCUUUGACCGUGCUUUUUCCUCUUUUCCUGGCUUCCUUCCACCAUUCACUACUUCACUUCACUCAGUUUCUCUCUCUUCCUUCUCUUCUCCAAUUCGCACACCCACCUGUGUUUGCCUUUUUUUUUUCUCGUCCUCCAGCUUCUCUUUUUUCUCUCUAAAAUAGGCGGAAGGAGGAAGACGGAGCGAGGUUUGGUGGAUUCGAGUUUGAGGUGAACUGAUCGAGGGAAGUUGAUAUUUGUUUGCGUUUUUCACUUCUACGCUUUCUCCAACCCUCCACUGAAGCAACUUUUGAACCUUCCUCUUCGUUGAAGCAACUUGAGAGUGUUCAUCACCCAAACAGAGUUCUUGAUUUCAAGAAAAUGGUGGGCCCUUAUCCUUCCAAUCAUCAACCCUUCUCUUUAUCUUAACACUGGCAAUCUCACAGGAACAACAAGGUGCUGCUACUCACCUUCAAGUCCCCACGGCCCACUACCGCUGCCAUGUGUCGCCGCCUCCGUGGCCGGUCAGCAGGUCACCGGCCUGGUGUUAGUCCCGCGGUGACACUAUCUCUCUCCUCUCUUGUUAAAUGUUCAAUCCAUAUAGUAUAAUUUGAUAUUAGUUUGGAUUCUUGGUGUUUUAAACAUGCUUAAUUGGUUUUAAAUUGAUAAUUUAAUCGGUUGAAAUCAUAAAUUUUUGAUUAUAUAAAGAGUUGUAAUUUUCAGAUUUAAUAAAUUAUAAAGUUAGGGUUUUAAGUUAUUUAAAAACAUGGUUUUUAGGGUUCUUAUACAAAUUGAUUUGGGGCUUUUGUAUACCUAAUGAUGUUAUUGAUUAAUUGGCCAUAAAAGUAUGUUUUAAUAAAGUAUUCAAGGGUUUUUAAUCAAGGAAUAUUGCUGAAAUUUUAUUUAAAGUAGUAGUGUUGUGAUUUUAAUGAAAGGUUUUAAUUGCCCAUCAAAAGGGAGGUUAAUUAGGGUUUUAAAAUAAUUUUCAGAUUAUUGUAAGUAGUCUAAAGUGAAUUUAAGUUGCUGGAAAUUGUGUAUGCAAGGAGAAGUAAUAUUAUAGUGUUAUUGUCCCUUUAUAUAGGAGACUUGGUUCGGGAAUUGUUGUAGUGUAUUUGGCUACUUUAAGGGCUUAUUUGAGUAGGACAGCUAAAGAGAAGCUUUUCAGGUGAUGCGGCAUAUUCAUGUUGGGGUUUGAGUGAAGAGCGAAUCUUAUAUUUUAAUUUUAUCUUGAAUAUGUGUUUAUUAUUGAUUAUUGGUUUAUUAUUGUUGUUUACUGCGAUUAACACAUUAGCUUUAAACAUUCAUUUGGUUUUAAAAGGGCCUACAGUGGUUCCAAGUUGUAGGUUUGACUUCGUUUGACUUUGGUUUGACUUGGUGGACUGUUGGACUUUGACUUUAUUUUGAAAGAUUUUGAAAAUAUCUUCCGCUGUGUAUCUUUGAUAAAUGUCUUAGCCGUUAUCACGGUGGCUGUAAUGCCUUGGCUAUUUCCUAUUUUGUAUUUUAAAAGGGUAAAACAAGUAUUUUAAAGGGGGAAAAUUUCCAGGGUGUUACAAUAAAAUAACCUUCUUUUACUUAAUGACUUGAUGAGAAGUAUAUUUUGUAAGGCUUUUGAUUGCUCUCUUCUCUUAUUUUAUAUCGUUCUUUCUCCCCGUUGACUCUGACUAUCCUCUUGUUGAUUUCUGGUGUAUCUUUAUUUCAUCAUUUGAAAACGGCUUUGGUUAACUAGUUUCAUAUGCAUUUGUAUUUCAUCAUAUGAAAGGUUAUACAAGUAAUCUUAUUGAUUUUGUAAAGCAAAGAGAAUUUAUAUGAAUUUUGGAUCCUAAUUUGAUAAUUGAGUUAAUUUAGGGGGUUCUUACACCUCUAUCUUCUACUGCCACAACCUCUCAUGUUUCAUUUUCCCCUAACGGCUUGCUAAGGUAAUUUGGUUCCAUUCUCAUCCCUUUCUUUCCUAAUUCUAGAAAAAUGAUGCUGAAUGAUUAGUGGGUACUGGGUUCUAUGAAUUGGUUUGGGUUUAUUUCUUAAGAUAGACUGCUAAUGAUGUGGUAUGAAUAUUUACAUGACAAUAUGUGUGUUUAACACUCUGUUUCUGCUAUUAGUUGUCGUCGAUUGAAUUUUAUAUGGUCUAUAAGAAGAUUAAAAUUAAUAUAUGCUUAUGCCUUGAUUAUGAAUGGUGUAAUGGUAACUGAAAUGAUUAAUAAUAUAUUCAAAAUUGCUCAUAAAGUUGAACUGAGCAAAGUGUAAUUGCACAAUUAAAUUGAGAUUUCAUGUGUUGGUCCUCGGUUGAAUAAGAAAGGGGUAAUAUUUCUUUUAUUUUCACUGAAUUUUAUGAUGAGUUUGAUGUAGUUAGUUGAUGUUAACUAGGUUUUCAAUUUAUGCCUUAGAUUUUGGACCGAAAUUUUACAUUCAAAUUGAGAUUUUUGAAGUGAUUAAGUCCUUGAUUUUGAUUUUUUCUUUUUUUAAAUUGCUUUUUUGUUUCUCUUCACUGGUUCGGAUUAUGAAAAGAAUAUCAUUGGGUAAUUUGGAGUCUGGUGAGGGGCUUAGAAUAUGGUGCAUUUUCUUUUUAUGAUGUAGCUAUGGAACUUGCCUUGUCCUUGGAGAAGCUAUGAAAAAUUGUUGAACUAGCAAACCAUUUUUCUGAUUGUUGGAUGUCCGUGCUUCCAUUUUAUUUCUGUGCGUGUUAAAUAAUGUGUGAAACAGGGUUGUGGGGUGAAAUUAACAAUGCAAGUCUUGCUGACAAUAAUAUCUUAAUUCUCUAUUUUCUGAGAAAAACAAUGAUGUGCAAUUGCAAGAAUAUAUGAGGGGCGAGUUCUUAUAUGAACAGGUAGUCUUUGUGGGGUUUUCCCCUGCUUUGCUGUUUGGUUUUGACUGUUCUCUUUCAUAGUGUAUAUCAGAUAAAAUUCUGUUAUCAUUGUUAAAUAAUUGGUUCAGUGUUAAUACUUAUGGUUUAAAUUCACUUUGGAGAGGAGACAAAAAGUUAGUAUUGAUGAAGAUGUUGGCUCAAAUCAAAGAUUGACAGAUUGGGAGAAGACUAAAAAUUAGUAUUGAUGAAAAUGUUGGCUCCAAUUAAAGAUUGAUCUUGUAUUUGACAUCAUUUGUAGCCUUGUAGGUCAAGAACAACAAAUUAUAUAUAGUUAAUAAUUAUAUGAUCCAAAUACAGUAUGUGAUUCCUGUAAAGAUCCCUGUUUGCAGACUUUGCUUGAGCUAAUUCUUUUUAGCUUAUAUAUUUCAAGUUUUUCAUCAAUUUCUCUGUGUUUCAGGCAUUGGGAGUUUGGAUUUGGAAAUAACAUUUUGCAACAAUAUCUAAGGAGCUUGUGCACCCAUUUGGUGAGGACAGGAUCAGAUAAUAGUUAAGCAUUUGGUACGAUGUACCUAUAGUAUUUUUGCAGGAUCAAAUUAAGGGCACAAAUAAGUUGUAGCAAAUAAUAUAAGUGUGUUUCUUGUCUUGUUUUGUUUCCUUAAUCUGAAAAAAUUAUCGUACUUGAAAUCAAAAAAUAUAUAGCAAAUUUUUUGUGCUCAAAUCAAAUGCACUUGUACUUCUUAGCUUUAUUCAUUCAAUAGAUACAAAGCAAAAGCUAACUUUUUCAU